GUGAAAAACCUGCCGUCCUUCAGAUUGGUGAUAUGAAGUCCUGAAGACUACUUUUUCAGUUAAAUAUCAACAUGGGUUGUAAUUCUGCACCCAGUCUAAUAAGGCACUUGACCUAUUGAAAGGGGUAGCAACAUGUUGUGGUUGCACACUACUGUGAUGUGGUUGCCCAUGAAAGUUGCAGGGCAAGGAGAAGGUACAGUAAGGAAGGCACUGGUGCUGAGUUUAGCUUGGAAUGAUCCAUUUUCUGCCUCUUUCGUAGGGUUCGCCUCCAAGGUUGGGGAGUCUAGUUGGUCCUUCUGUGUCACAAUUUCCUGCAAGCAAUAAUAAAUCUUCAUUGCCUUUAAAAUAAGGAUUUCAGUUUCAAUGCUUAAGGCAGUGAAAGACCCUCUGUGCAGCAGGUUUUCUUCCCUCCAGUGGUAUUCUGAAACCGAGUGUAGUGGAAAAUACAGAUAAGCAUUAACAUCCUGCACACCUGCUUCAGUUUUUUAAAUAAAAUAAACACAGGGCUUCAUGCUGACGUAAAACUGUUCAAACAGCUUUAUGCAGUUAUCUGUAGCUUUCCCCAGUAGCAGAGGAGGGAGAAAAUGAGCUACAGCACCAGAGGGUUAGCGCUGCACGCUGCUGGGGACGGUACCACCUCUGACCUCUCAGCUACGUGUCAGGAAAUUAUCCUGGUUAGUGAAUGUGAAAGAAGGAACCUCAGUAACUCAGAGUUGAAUGAUCCCAGUCGUUGCAGUCUAAAGAGCAAAUACUCUUAAAAUAUGAAAGGAGCAAGGAGCUGUCCUGCGGGACCAGAAAAAUACAGACAUGUUUUUAAGAAGAAGAGGGCUGCUGGAUAAUCUGAGCCAGUCAGAAGAGCCUGGAAGUCCUCCUGCUCCUGAAGCUCAAGCUGAGGCUCUCACCACCACCACCGCGCUGCUGGCUGCCUUGGAAGUGAGCUCGGAGGAUAUAUUUUGGUGAAAACCUGGAGAAGGGUGAUAGUUGUCUGCUGCAAGCUUUGGAAACUGAAGGCAAGAGGAAGAAGAGAAGAAAUUAAUACAGUGUAUUUAGUCAAAUGAAUAGAGAAUCUAACACGCUGCAUGCUUAUUAAACUGAAUGAAAAUUUUGAUGUCUGCAUGUAGGAAACAGAUUUCAUCUAUAAAAAAUAGUUGGAAUAGAAAUGGUACACUGUAACAGGGAGGAGAGUGAUUUGCUUUCGUACCUCUCAGCCUCUGCAUGUGAAAGAAGCACAUUUUACACAGAUGUGCUUAGACUGCUGAAUGCCUGAUUGCUGCUGGUGAAAGCUGACCAGUUAUACACCAGCUCCAGCUACAAGCUGAGUUGCCAAAUUAGCACACAUCUGGUCCUGGGCUCACAGCUCCUCAGCUUGGGUCUAGUGCCAUCGCCAUGACUCUGAGCACAGAGUGGGCAUGUAUCCCUACACAGCCACUUCGCAAACAGCCCCUGUGAGUUAUGCUGGUGGUAUUGUUUCUCUCCUACUUCCCACUCUGUAACACACACUGCCCUGGUGCCGGGCCUGGGCAGGUGGCUGUAGGCAGGCAGGUGGUCUUUCCCUGCUGUGGAAGCCUGGUAGCCCAGCAGGCUGCUUGGCUGCUCAGUGCACCUGGAUCAGCAGCAUUUUGGGUAGGAUGUGGUGGAUGGUAAUGUGCUCUGCAGUGGGGCAGGGAAUGGUCUUUGUUGGUCAGACUGAAGGUGGUAAGUGAAUGACAAGUGUGGGCACAUGGGAAUUUCAGAGCAUAUGGUUUGGUGUGCAAAUAACCUCAGUGACUAUGGGGAAAGGGAGGAUGUUAAGGUCCUCAUGGAUGCGAGGACCAACAUUUCUUCCCAUUUUGUGCAGCAGCAGGCAGACACCUCCCCAUCACUGAGCUGUAGGAGGUGUCUGCAUGAUCCGGAGUUUUUCCCUCCCACUCAGCAGCACACACGCACUGCUGCUGCUGACCCCAGGGCAGCUGCUGCCUGCUGUAGUCUGGCUUAUCUUGGUGCUUUAUGCAUCCAACUUAAAAAUAAAGGGGGUUGACUGUCAAGCGGGACUGAGCAGUACUCAGCAUCCUACAGGCUUUGAGCAGUAGAAAAUAGGAAAGGACUGUGAAGCUUCUCACAGCAGUAGUUGCUUCUUGCCCAGGAUUCCCCAUGCUGCUUUCUGGGAUAAAGCAAUGUUCCGGGCAAUGCACCACAUGUCCCUGCUCUUCCGCCUCAAGCCGGCCCGCUGGAGCGGCCACAGCAUCCACAGCUCUCCACCGGAGGGGAAAGUGGGACUGGUGGAGACAAUCACUGGAUUCUCAGCAUUUUCACUGGCAGUUCUUGGACCAGCUGGAUGGUUCCUUUACCACCUUCCAAGCUAUAAAACGGAAUAAAAAACAUCCCUUGGAAAUUAAGAUCUGGAAGCUGCGCUUUGUCAGUGAAUCCAACAUCUUGAUCUGAGGCCCAGUUACGCAUUUGGAAACCUUCCUACAGAUUUUAGUGAGUUUUGGAUAAGGGCCUAUCCGGAGAAAAAUCCAUGCCAGUAACUGAAGUGAAGCCAGGCGAGUGCUCUGCAACACACUGCUCUUGCAUGCCAUGAAUACAUCCACUGACAUCAAUCAGGCUGUUCUGCAGAAUCUUUUGUAAAAAAGCACUUUGAACGUUUCCGUGUGCCUGCUUGUCCUGCACCCAAUUUUGUCAUCAAUGCCCCACCUGGUAAUAGCUAAAUAAAUCAGUAGGACAUAUCAUCUUUCA